rnacentral:rRNA from 1 species
AGUGGCGGACGGGUGAGUAACGCGUGGGCAACCUGCCCCAUACAGGGGGAUAACAGUUAGAAAUGACUGCUAACACCGCAUAAGCGCACAGGGCCGCAUGGUCCGGUGUGAAAAACUCCGGUGGUAUGGGAUGGGCCCGCGUCUGAUUAGCCAGUUGGCGGGGUAACGGCCCACCAAAGCGACGAUCAGUAGCCGACCUGAGAGGGUGACCGGCCACAUUGGGACUGAGACACGGCCCAAACUCCUACGGAAGGCAGCAG